rnacentral:lncRNA from 1 species
AUCUUAUCAGACAGUAGAUAUCAUUUAAAGAAAUUUAUUAGAAAUAUUUGCAAAAACUACUAUUUUUCAUUUAAAAAAGUAUAAAAAUUUAUUUCAAUUAUAAAAUAAGAUAACUGUGCAAAUGGGAGGUAACUCUUGCUUCAAGCAAGUAAGGAACGCCUACUGUAAGACCUGUACCAAGGAAGAACCAUUACAGUGAAAUUGGUUGAUCUUUUCAAUAUCAAAUUUAGUGAAUCUUAAUAUUAAAUAAAAGCUCUGAUACAUUCAAAUGUUUUAUUAAUUGAAAACAAUUCUUAAAACAAAAUUUAAAACAAAUAAAUCAAAACUUAACAUGAGAACUAAAGUAUAAACUUAACAGGAGAAUUAAAGUAUUGGCUGAAUAUUUAUAAACAAAAAAUGAAGAAAAAAAAACAUAAAAAAAUUAUUUAAAAAA